AUGAGGGAACAGCCAGCAGGAGGGCAGCGCUGCAGCUUCACGGUAGCCAGAGCCAUUGCAGAUGGGAUAGUGAAGAGGGGGCUGGAGCGGGGAAGGGAAGGGGAGCAGGUGGAGAGAGGAGGAGGAGAGAGGAUGGUAGGGGGUAGGGGAAGGCAGGGGAGGAGGAGGAGAGAGGGGGAGGAGAGGAGAAAAGGGAGGGAAGGGAGAAGAGGAGAAGGAGAGGAAGAGGAGGAGGAGGAGGCAGGGGAGGGGAGGCGGAAGAGAAGGAUAAGAGAGUGCCUUCAGGGAAGGAGAGGAGGGAGUAUGAGUAAGCGGGGAAACAGUAGUUCCUUUAAGGAUUCCCUCUGCGUCAGGGUCUCCAAAGCCAUCCCCAGUCCUGAUGACUCGCUAGGAGGACUGAGCACACAGGCUAUCAGAGCGAUGAUUACAGCUGAAGGAUGCAGAGCAAGGGAACAGGUGCGUGGGGCACAGGCCAUAAGAAACUGCGCUCAAGCGUCCAAGGCUUGAGGCCCAGGGGAGGCCCAGGCGUGCGUACCCCCCAGCAGUGAGCCGAGGCAACAGGUGCGUGUGGUCCACCAAGGAAGGUGCACACAGACUCAGCGUUCAGAGUGUUUAUGGGGGGAAACCACAUGAGCACCCCCCCACCCAGCACACACCAAAAUUCCACAUUCUCCAAAGGAGAACAAGCGUUGAACAUAAACCAUACGUUUCGCACAAACAGUUCAGGCACAGGGAGCCUCUGUCCUAAGAGUGGCGGGAACACUACCCGAAUGCAAGUUCCCAGGUGCCACCCGGCAAGCAGGCCUCCCAGAGCUUAGCGGGCUCAACCUGCUGCUUUUAAAUGGACUCUGCACGUCGGCGAAUUGUCAGGCUGGGGAGGCCUCUAUUUUUCUAUCAUCUGGAGUUAAAUUGUAUCCGUCGUAGGCAGACCUCUAAAACUGUUUUCUGAGAUUGAUUCAAUCCAACAUUAACCUAGGUGCUGCUGUGAAGGACUCCACAGAUCAAGGAUUCGAAAGCAGGGAGCGUGACCGGGAUUUUCUAAGUGACCCGAUCUAAUGACAUAAAUCCUCUUUUUUUCUCUAUAUUUUUUUAUUUGAGUUCAAU
rnacentral:lncRNA from 12 species